AUGGCGUCUCGCCCUGUCACCCAGACUGGAGUGCAAUGGCAUGAUCUCGGCUAACUACAACCUCUGCCUCCCGGGAUCAAGUGAUUCUCCUGCCUCAGCCUCCCAAGUAGCUAGGAUUACAGCCAGUCAGGAACAUCUUGCUUCUCAAACUCCUGUCUUGACCCCUUCCUGAACUUUGCCUCCUGGAUCUUGAGGUCUGCCUUCUGUGGAAGAGAAAUACUAGAAUCAAUGAACUGUGAACUAGAGCCCUGGGAUUAUCAACAGCCAGCUGAAAUUUUGAGAGCCACCUUAUAGAAAGCCUAACAGCAAAGACUGGAGAGAGGCUUCCAGCCAACAGCCAGCAAGGAAUUGAAGCCCUCAGUCCAAUAGCAGUGAGGAAUUGAAUCCUGCCAACAGCCUCGUGGAUGGGUUGCUUGCUGCCUGACUCUAACUCCUGCUACUACUGCAAACACCACUGCCAUGAAUAUCCUCAGCAAGACCCCCUUCCAGACCUGCAUGAACAGUUGUGUGAAAUGUAUAUGCACAAAGGGACUGCAAGGGAAGACCCAGAGACUAGGGAAGAACUUGGAACAAUAAUCUCAGUUUCUUCAAUUCCUAAACUGAGAGUAUUGCUGUUUUUAAAUGAAGACCGACUGCUUCAUGCUGGGCUUCAGACAUGAGAGGCUAGGAGUAGGAGGCAUGCCUUGUUCAAAGGUCUUAAAUGUGGGAAAUAGUCUAUAGUUUGGAAGACACCAGAGAAAAAUGCUCCACAGCUCGCCCUGGUGACUCACUACAACUUAUGGGAAGAUGUGAGAUUAUUCUGUAUUCUAAUGUAUGUUAGAAGGCACACUCCACCCAAAGCCUUCCUGUGUGUUCCUCCCUGUGAGCUCACAUCCCGUUCACCAGCUGACUGGGAAGGGAAGUCAGGACCAGCCCUGACCCCAUCACACCAUCAUAACCUCGGGAUGGCAGGGCUGGAAGGCACCUCAGACGUCAUCCUUUGCAGACUCUUCAUUUUACAGUGAGAAGCAUGACGUGUCCACAGCUGGUUAGUGCCAAAGCCUGGGACAGGCUUCACAUUGUCCAGCUCUUAGUCAGAGCACUGUUGACAAUGUCUGCCUUCACUUGGAAUUCAGCACCUGCUUUCAGUAUAAACCCCUGCAUUUCACUAAAACUGAGCAGACUGCUGGUUUAAAAAAGAGAGGUCCAUCCAGCAGGGAUGACGCUUUUCCUCGUUGAAAGAGGACAUUCACCUAAUGGGAGACCUGGAGUCAGAAUCUUUCUGAUGUGUGACUUGGCACAGUAACACAAUGCAGGAUGCUGGUGUGUUAAUAAAAAUAAAAAUUGCAUCUGCCUACCUCAGAGUCGACAACAAUGUCAAGGAGUGAAUAGUCUUGGCAACACAGAGGCCACUGGACAGAGGCAUAACCUUGCGUGGCAGCUGCACGGGAAUUGGAUUUGGCUCAGGUGUUUCAGAUGACUAAGAACAAAGGGGACCACUCUUGGUAUAGAAGUUCAUCUCAUCGGGAGCAUCUGUGGUUCUUUCAUAUGCAAUGUACAUUCUACAAUAGAGGCAGACCCAGAAAUAAUUCAGAUAUUGGAGUUAGAAGAUCAGGAUUCUAAGAAAACCAAAAGAUAUGGCCCUUCAAAGGCGAGGGUAGAAUCUGCUAUGAUUUAGAAGCAAACAAGAAAAAGUACACAUCAGGUGAGUGG